AAGUUGGGGGUGAAAUCCCAGGGCUCAACCCUGGAACUGCCUCCAAAACUACUAGUCUAGAGUUCGUGAGAGGUGAGUGGAAUUCCAAGUGUAGAGGUGAAAUUCGUAGAUAUUUGGAGGAACAUCAGUGGCGAAGGCGGCUCACUGGCUCGAUACUGACGCUGAGGUGCGAAAGUGUGGGGAGCAAACAGGAUUAGAUACCCUGGUAGUCCACACCGUAAACGAUGAAUGCCAGACGUCAGCAAGCUUGCUUUUUGGUGUCACACCUAACGGAUUAAGCAUUCCGCCUGGGGAGUACGGUCGCAAGAUUAAAACUCAAAGGAAUUGACGGGGGCCCGCACAAGCGGUGGAGCAUGUGGUUUAAUUCGACGCAACGCGCAGAACCUUACCAACCCUUGACAUACUUGUCGCGGAUUCCAGAGAUGGAUUCCUUCAGUUCGGCUGGACAAUGUACAGGUGCUGCAUGGCUGUCGUCAGCUCGUGUCGUGAGAUGUUCGGUUAAGUCCGGCAACGAGCGCAACCCACGUCCUUAGUUACCAGCAUUUAGUUGGGUACCCUAAGGAGACUGCCGGUGAUAAGCCGGAGGAAGGUGUGGACGACGUCAAGUCAUCAUGGCCCUUACGGGUUGGGCUACACACGUGCUACAAUGGCAUCUACAGUGAGUUAAUCUCCAAAAGAUGUCUCAGUUCGGAUUGGGGUCUGCAACUCGACCCCAUGAAGUUGGAAUCGCUAGUAAUCGCGGAACAGCAUGCCGCGGUGAAUACGUUCCCGGGCCUUGUACACACCGCCCGUCACACCAUGGGAAUUGGGUCUACCCGAAGGUGGUGCGCCAACUAUUUAUAGGGGCAGCCAACCACGGUAGGUUCAGUGACUGGGGUGAAGUCGUAACAAGGUAGCCGUAGGGGAACCUGCGGCUG
rnacentral:rRNA from 1 species